GAUGAAGAACGUAGCGAAAUGCGAUAAGUAAUGUGAAUUGCAGAAUUCAGUGAAUCAUCGAAUCUUUGAACGCACCUUGCGCCCUUUGGCCAUUCCGAAGGGCAUGCCUGUUUGAGUAUCAUGAACACCUCGACUCUUCAUGGUUUUCCGUGAUGAGCUUGGACUUUGGGGGUCUUGCUGGCCUAUGGUCAGCUCCUCUAAAAUAAAUCAGCUUGCCAGUGUUUGGUGGGUAUCACAGGUGUGAUAACUAUCUACGCUUGUGGUUUUCCACCAGGUAACCUUCAGCAGUGGAGGUUCGCUGGAGCUCACAGAUGUGUCUCUCCUCAGUGAGGACAGCUCUUUGAAUGUUUGAUCUCAAAUCAGGUAGGACUACCCGCUGAACUUAAGCAUAUCAAUAAGCGGAGGA
rnacentral:misc_RNA from 1 species